rnacentral:rRNA from 1 species
AUUGAACGCUGGCGGCAGGCCUAACACAUGCAAGUCGAACGAGUGGCGGACGGGUGAGUAAUGUCUGGGAAACUGCCUGAUGGAGGGGGAUAACUACUGGAAACGGUAGCUAAUACCGCAUACCAUCAGAUGUGCCCAGAUGGGAUUAGCUUGUAGGUGGGGUAACGGCUCACCAAGGGGACGAUCCCUAGCUGGUCUGAGAGGAUGAUCAGCAAGACGGGAACUGAGAGACGGUCCAGAUUCCUACGGGAGGAAGGAGUGGGGAAUAGUGUACAAUGGGCGCAAUCCUGAUGCAGCCAUGCGGGGUGUAUGAAGAAGGCCUUCGGGUUGUAAAGUACUUUAAGCGGGGAGGCGUUACCCGCAGAAGAAGCACCGGCUAACUCCGUGCCAGCAGCCGCGGUAAUAC